UACGAAGGUGGCGAGCGUUUUUCGGAAUCACUGGGCUUAAAGCGCACGUAGGCGGCCCAUCAAGUGCCUUGUGAAAUCCCACGGCUCAACCGUGGAAUUGCUUGGUAUACUGUUCGGGCUUGAGGCAGGUAGGGGCACGUGGAACUCUUGGUGGAGCGGUGGAAUGCGUAGAUAUCAAGAGGAACGCCGGUGGCGAAAGCGGCGUGCUGGGCCUGUCCUGACGCUGAGGUGCGAAAGCCAGGGGAGCAAACGGG
rnacentral:rRNA from 1 species